AUACGGAGGGUGCAAGCGUUAUCCGGAUUUACUGGGUUUAAAGGGUACGCAGGCGGUAAUUUAAGUCAGUGGUGAAAGCCUACAGCUCAACUGUAGAACUGCCAUUGAAACUGAAUUACUUGAGUAUGGUAGAGGUAGGCGGAAUACAACAUGUAGCGGUGAAAUGCAUAGAUAUGUUGUAGAACACCGAUUGCGAAGGCAGCUUACUAAACCAUUACUGACGCUCAUGUACGAAAGCGUGGGGAGCGAACAGGAUUAGAUACCCCUGUAGUCC
rnacentral:rRNA from 1 species